CCUUGCUCACUAUCUGCUGAAUGACUGCUUCUUGGUGUCUUGCCUUUCUUUCUGUUAGCCCUUGCAGCCCUAAGGUUCUGGACCCGACCAUUCCCUAACAAAUGUCCCUACCUUCCAGUGUUACCUGCUCUGGGCAUACGGCCAGAAGGACCUUCACUGGGCAGCAGAGAACAUAGGACAUAAAGCAGCUCACAGGCAUCUGAGUCUGGCCCCAAAAGCCACUCCCAGAGGAUGCUUUGCACAGCAAUAUCACUGCUGAUAAUACUUCCCCAGAGGUCACAGGAAGUUACACAGCCAGAUGCAAGGGGCCCAUUGAUGGCUAUGAAAAGGAAUGUCCAGUGCAGCUGCAGGUCCACUUGAGCCCCCCAAGCAAGCGCUCUCAAGCCCGCUGUCUUUGAGCCCAGUGUUUUCAGAGCCUGUUGCUGCAGCGAUGUCUGGAAUCCUCAACACCUGCACGUCAGCUUCCUGGGCAUUUCCACUCCCCUCCCUCGGCCCCCACCCUCCUCUUCCAUUUGCAUCUGAAAUGCAGCUGCUGGGGCCCUAUAGAGGGGAGCCAAAUGGACAGGAAUCUCCUUGUUUGCUCUCCCUCCCCUGAGUCAAACAGAAUCUGAAGCUCC
rnacentral:lncRNA from 1 species